AAAAAAAAAAAGAAAAAAGGAAAAGCAAAACCAGCUGGCUGCUUACACAAGGCAUCCAGAACGAGACUGCCGGGACUCCAGCAUUUCCAUUCAGUGCAGCCGAGCAUGCUCCUGUGUAAAUAGUUUCCAUAUGUCAUCAUUACAAUAAAAAACAAAAAAACAAGGAAGAAAGAAAAGGAGCAUAAACUUUCCAGAGCCCAAACCUCUCCCUCUGCAAAACAAAUUCCCUGCUUAGGGGAAGGAAAAACUCUCCAUGGGCCGAGAGCAAACAAACUCCUCUCAUUCAGAGGAGCUCAUGCAGCCGUGGGGGAUCUCCAGGGCAGAGCUGAGAGGAGAAUAAGGGACAGAAAACAUCCACAGGAGGCUGGGAUAAAUCACCCUUCCCAGGCAGCAAUUAUACAUCCAACUCAAGUCACUCUGGAAUUCCUGAUUUUUGAUGUCUGCACUUCUUCAAAUAAACAGUAAUUUUUUCAAAAUUCCAACAAACUGGUAACCUCCUACAAAUUCAGAGAGUUAUAAACCAGCCCUGCAGGGCAGCUCUUCCAUUUGCCUUGGAGCUCCCCCAGCCUGGCUCUCAUUAGCCAGCUUGCCAGAUGUUCUGCCUGCCAGCCAGCACACACUUUCUAUGGCCUUGCACUGAAACAGACUGAGAUUCCCUAACUGGCUCACUGCCUGCCUCCAAAGCCUUCACUGGACUUCCCAGGGCUGUCUCCUAAAUGCUUGAGGAUGGUUUGCAUGAUAAGUCUCCAUCUUGCCCAGAUAUUGCUAUUUUAGCAAGUACACCCGUGAUGACAGAACAUAUGAAGGCAGAAGUGACUUAAAUCAGCAAAAAAUAUCCUUAUUCUGUCAUUCACACUGUUCAUGCAUCAUGUGUGGAGUCAGUGUAAGAUGCAAUAUGCAAGUUGCUCCAGUGAGUUCCAUGUGUGAGUAAUGUUUCUCUUGACAGGCAAAACCAGAAAUGCCAAGGACACACAGAUUUGGAGACAGACACAUCUUCAUCCACGUGGCCUUGCAAGGUCCCCGAUCCAUCAAAAGAGGGAAGAGGAAGGAAAGCAUCACUUCCUGCAUGGGGGAAAGGUCAAACUGUCCAGGCACAUGGGCUGGGCAGCUCCAGACACCAGUGUGUUCAGGGCUGGAUGGAGCUUGGAGCAAUCUGUUCUCCAAAAAUGUGUCUUUUCCUUCCAAUCGACAGCAUUCCAUUAUUUUACCAUUCUACCAUUCAGUUGGAGUAAUUUUUUUCAGGCUUUGCAUUCCUCACUGCCAUAACCUUCUCUAUUUCUCCAUCUUCACUGGAUCUGUAAUUCCCAAAUUCAGUCACAGAGCCCAAGCUUUUGGUUUAGAACAAACAUAACCAGGAAUCCCACAGCACUGAACAUGAGUCCAAGGAAGAAGGCAGAUCCCAGCAGGAUCAAAGGCUCUCUUGGUGCUCCUGGAUCUCCUGAGCUCACACCCAGGAGCCCAGUGCUGGCUGAGGUUUCUGGCUCUCUCAGCUGCUCCCUGAGGCUGUGGUGAGGAUGGACAAGGAGAAGGACAGCCAUCCACAAGCACUCCUCUCUCCUGGAAAGCUCUCAUCAAGUGAGCACUCACUACAGAAGGUGCAAAUCCAUAAAAAAACAUGGAAACAAGGUAGAUGCCUGCCCUUCCCCAACACAAUCUGUGCAGGCAUCUUCAGUCCCAAAGCCAAGAUUUUAGUCAAGUAUUGGAGUUGUCCCAGCACCAAUGAUGGCAUUUUCCCUCCCAAUGGCUCACAGGCCAUGCAGCUUCCCCUCCAGAGGAUAAAUCUUCCCUCUCUCUUCCAGGGAGGCUGAUAAGAAACUGCUCCUUGCAAGCACUGAGGCACAAACACACAUGGGCUUGUCUCUUCAAGGCCAGGCUCACCUAGCCCAGAGAAAAAAAGCUGCCUGGAAAGCACAGCUGGUCUGGCACUUGGCCACACAUCUCAGAGGUGAGACAGACAGACAGACAGGGAAAUCUCUGCCUUUGCUGCCUGAUUGCCAGCUCAGUGCCGUGCCAACGGGAGCAUCGCAGGGCUGGUCCCUGCUGCCCAGAACAUCUCAGUGCCUGUCCUGGUUCAGGGGACAUUGUGGGAAGGAAGAGAACAGCCAUGGGGAAGUCUAAACAAUUUGCUGUCAGUUUGUUGCCUAGGAAAAAAGGGCAUCUCCAACAGAGAGCAGUGCCAAGCCCUUCUGCUACAGGAGAAAUCAUCUCCUUCGGAAUAUUCCGAGCCAGCAUAACUGAGUCAUGCUCUUCCUUGGAGACAACAGCACAGCAGAAACAUAUGCAAAGGCCUCAGGGCUCUUUGUCUUACAGUAUUCUCACAGCACUCCCUUGCUGUGAAGCUCAACAAAUAAAGUCACUUCAGCUUCCUAUUUUACACAGGAAAGUUUUUUUAAAAAGCACGGACGUUGCCACUUCCUGUGAGCAGUGAAAGGCGACUCCAUCCUCGCCUCGACUCGAGGAUGCAGCAACACGAGCUCACAUCCUGCCUCCAGCACCACAGGGAGCUGAAUCCUCGAGAAGGAGGAGCAGAUGUCCCUCAGCAUGGGAAGAGAAGCUGCCAACUUCAGAGGAAGACACGUGUAAAGGAGCAGGGAAAAGCAGGGAAAACCCCAGCCCCCAGAGCUGGGGAGCUGUUCUCCAUUAGGAAAAAAGGCUUCUGCACAUUUAUGGAAACCACUGCUGGCAGCAACUGGAGGUUGCAUUUAAUGGCUGGAGAGGAAGGAAGGAGUUAAACCAUUGAUGCGGCAUCUGCUGAACAGCUGAUUUUCCCUCAAAUGGUCCUUGCUUCAAGUCCUACAGCCCUCACACAGAAGCACAUCUUCAGAAAAUGGACAACUUUGACUCAAAAGUCUUCCGCACACACAAAAAAAUGUCCUUUGAAUCCAGAUUUUAGAAGAGCCACUGCUGGUUUCCCAUUGUUUGCCUGGAAAUCUUGGCUGGCCUGCAAUCUCCUGCCUGGUGCAAAACACCUUCUGGAAGAAAGUCACUGUCAUGGCAAUGUACACACUGCCUCAGCUGCAGAAAUCAAAAGUCAUCUGCUGAUUUUUAAAUGCCAGCCUUUAGAAUCAGCUGUUUAAUCUCUAUUUACUGUGGGGAUGGGAGAAUAGGUCAUACAAUGACUGUGUCAUCUGGCUUUUCAGCAAAUAUAGAAUAUAUUCAGUAUUUCUUGAGCUUCCCUGUAACACUGUUGGAGUGUUAAACCCUGAACUCCUGACAAGCUGGAAUCAUUUAAUAUGAUUUUUUAUUUCUCAAGUCCUUUAGAGCACCUUUAACUCUGCUGACCACAAUUCUCUUCAGGAUUUUCCUCCCCUCCAGGUGCUAUUCCUUCAUUUGAUAUAUAUUUAUCUAAAUAUCUGUUUAUCUUUUGUGUUAGCCAGCCCAGGCAUGUGGGUACUGUGACUUUUUGCUGCCUCUCCAACAGCUUUGAAUCUUCCAUCAACAUUUCUGUUUUCUAGGCAUUUGUGCUGCCUCAAAGUAUAGAAAAUUUUGAUUUUUAAGUCUUCUCUUUCACAACCACUAGAGAUAAGGUCCUGCCACCAGCCUUGUAUUUGAAAAGAAAGGGCUUUGACUUGGUCACUUCAUCCCCCUGACCCAAAUGUCAGAAUUUUCCUCAGUGCUCCCACUUCCAGGAUUGAUCCCUUAGUCUUAAUUCUACAAGCAUUUCUUCAUUUGGUUAAUGAAGACCAGGAACAUAUUGGUGCAUUCUAGUGAAAUCCACUUUGCUUUUGUGCCAUAAACUUCCCCAGAUCUGUGGGGGAUAGUGAAAAUCCUCUCUCUCUGCAAAAACAGUGAUGGCUGGAACAAACCACAGGCAUUCCCAAGUGGCAACACAGAAACACACACACAUUAGGUGGGAAAUACAAGUGCAGCUGGGCUGUCCAGCCCCACAGAACCAGGGGGUUUAACACAGCUGUGCAGACACAAACAUCCUAAAUUUUCUUCCCUCACACACCAAGCAGGAGAAGAAAAGCCUUUUGUUCCAAACAGACAUCACCAGAAAAAGCAGCACUGGAUGCUCCAAACCCCCUCAGUGUGAUUCAAACCACAGCAGUGUCCCCUUGCCAUGCCCAGGACCUGUCCCCAAGGCCAAGGUGCUGCUGUGACCAACACCAGGUCACCCCUGGUGUGCCCAGGUGAGGCACAGGUGCCCGAGCAUCCUGCAGAACCACUCACAGAUGGCCCAAACCCCAACCCUGCUCCUGCAGCUCCCAGAAAGCAAGCAGCCAUGUGAAAAGCAGCCUUCUUCUCCACAUGCAAAAAGCAAUUAUGGUAAAGACACAGGGAGAGCCCUGCGAGGUGCAGAUCAAAAGCCAGAGACACGGGAGGCAGCAGAAGAGCCCGAUCAAAUUCACCACGCUCUCCCCAGCUUAAGGAUCAGAAAUGGAGCGUUCUGCCUCAUAAAUUCUACUUCCAGCAAAUUCAAGCCUAAAUCCCCUGAAGGCAAUAAGGAAAAGGCAAUCAACAACAACUCUAACCACUUCCCAGAUGCUCCUGUUUAGUUUAUACAGCACUUCUUACAGCAUUGAAAUGGGUAAAAUGGGAUUUCAACGCAGGGGGGCUGACGGCAGCAGGCAGGAUUCCUCAGUGAAGAUACCAAGGGCAAAGGAAGUUCUGAGAAGCAUCAUAUUGGUUAUGAUGAGUGAACUCAGCGUGCUCAGCCUUUGCUCAUUUUAAUCUGCCAGUACGCAGGCUUGGCUGAAGUGAACAUCCUGCAUCUACAGUGCCUUAAAAAUCCACAGGAACCACAAAAUGAGGGGGGAAAACGAACAAAGUGCUGCGUUCCCUGGGAAGCCAUGAAAAAACUAAUCACUGUUUGUUUCCAACUGUUGUUCCGCUUCCUGAGCCAAAUGUUUCCAAGUCAGCUGUGGUGGCUGAGGAGUGACCGGUUCGAGCUGGAAAGCUGUCAAUUGAAAAUUGCAGCUCCAACACUUUCAAACUCCUUAACAUCUUUUACAAUUCCAGGACCACCUGUUCAAAAAAAAAAAGCAGAGCCCCCUGAUGACACGACACAUGGCUUUAUCCCACAUUUUCCAAUGAAAGCAGUCAGCUCAGGGAGGAAACACCCUGCUCUUCUGCUCUCAGCCCAAAAAGAUGGGAGUUGUGCUGGAGAGGAGACACACAAUGGGCAGGGGCUCCCUCCCUCAAAGCAUCAAGGUCAUCACUCCCAUCUUCAGGGAGUGUGGAGCUUCCAGAGUCCUUGCCCCACUCUGCAGGAUCCCCCCUGGAUUUACAGUGUGAGGUGAUCUCCAUCCCCAGUGCUGCAGGAGAUGACAAAGGAGAAAGAACCAUUUGACUCCAGGAUAAUGGAACACUACCCCGAGUCUUCUCUACCUUGUAGAUGCAGUUACCAGCUCAGAUUUGAACAGCAUGGGGCAUUCAAGACAAAAAUCACUGGGUUUUUUUUCUCUUUUUUUUUCUCUCUCUGCGUGAAAGAGUCAACAGUGCAGAGAUUCUGUUUGACAGAGCAUCCCACUGUGAGACACACAACGUGUGCAUUGUGCAAACCACUCUCCUGCAGAGCUCAGAAAACAAGGAAGGCUUGGAAAAAAUGCCCACAAUGACUGCAGCCCUCGAUACCUCCUGGUGCUUCACUGUGCUUGGGGUCCUUCCCCUGCAGGCACCACAGAGCCACAGUGAGAAUGUCUCCACACAAAUGCUGCUGAGCUUUGGACAACACAGGGCUCUCUCUCAUCAAAGAAAGGCACCAGCUCUACACAAGUGUUUAAGCACAGCCCUGCCUCAAAACCUGAAUUCUCAGCACAAGUGAGAUCCCAGAGGAAGGUUCAGAGCACAAAUAUUUUUCAUUAUUUCUAACAUCAUAGCAAAAGAUCCCCAAUAUCUUCUAAAAAAGCAGCAUUUCCCCUCCUUCCUCUGAGCUUACAGAGCUCAUCACCCAGGGAAACGAAUUGUACUGAAGGAGAAAACAAUAAUCUCCUUAUGUUUUGGGUGUUCGUUUCCAUUUCCAAGAUUUUCACCCCUCACUCAUCUCACAGGCAGUUUUUGCUUCGCUUUGCUUGCUUAAAACAUUCAUUUUAAGUCAUCUAGGCCAGGAAAGGAUUAGAGGAGCCCUGGCAGAAGUUGCAGAAUGCAAGGCUGUUAGGUCAGAGAAAUGAGACUUUCAGAGGCAGAACCAACAAUCCACCACAAAACCACCACUCGUGCUUUGGAAAAAAUUCCUCUCUCUAUAAAUUUUAAGCAGGUGCAUAUUAAGAAAAAUGAAUCAUGCACGGCAAUGCAAAACAGCACCUCCUCACAAGAAAGGAAUGAAGCCUGCCUGUCCACUCCUGCACCAGGUGCAAUCAGCACUUCCCAGGUGAGAUUGUGACCCACAGGGGCAUUACCUGACUCACCCUAGGUGCAAGGAGGAGCUGCUCCCCAAAAUGAGCCCCAGCCCUGUGCCCUGGCCAUGUUUCACCUCUAAAGGCAGCAGCAGAAGCACUGCUGCUGCUGCUGGAACUAAUUAAAGGCAAAUUGGUAGAACCAGGGGCCAUGACGUGAGGAAAUAUCCUGCACAGCAUCCAAGAAAGGCACCAGAUAAUCCAAAAGCCUGGCUGUCAGAAAUCUUGGAAUCUGCCAGGUCCAAAGCAAGCUUGUUCCCUCAUCCCCUUCAUUCCUUCACCUUAAUUAGCUGCAGCAUUUCAGACCCAGGGCCUCAACCCCUCUGGAACAACCCUUGCUUCCACACAAGGAUCAAAACCUACAGAUCCUGCAGGAUUUAUUAAAUCUACCUGAAAUGCCUCUUUUCCUCCAAAGGCAGCAAAGCCACAAUGCCUCCACAAGCAGCACAGGUCCCAAGGGUUUGUGUGGUUGCAGCAUUUCCCACAGGUGGGAAAUGUGUUUCAGGUGUUUGUUCUCUGCUUCCUCAGCCCUUCAGGAAUUGUUUUACACCUGGAAACCUCACCCAUGGCAUGAUGGUGGAACAGGAUGAGUUUUGAGGCCACUCCAACCCAAACCAUUCCAGGAUUCUCUGAGAUGAUGCCAUGACCAGAUGGGCUGAGGCUGUGGACUACAUGGACAGGUUUAACCCUCUCACUGCCAACACAAAUCUGGUUCUGGAACCAGAUCCAACACAGAGGAGAUUUCUGUCACUUCAGGUUGCAUUGGCUACCAAACACAUCAAAUCCAGGUAAUUCACAUGCCUCAAAAGGAAUAUUAACUGCUCCAAAUUCUAGGUGUCUAGCUGGGGCUUAGUAAAGGAUUUUUUUAAAGACAGGUUUGGUGUCUACAACAUCCUUUAAUGCUGUAAUUAGACUUUGUGUUCAGAAGCACCCCUGAGUGUCCAGCAGGCAGUUACAAAAGGAACAGCUCUGCUGAGAGCCCCUUCCCACAUCCCACCAGGGAACUGUCCCAAGGCAAGGGCAGAGGGCCCCUUCCAGCACACCCUGGCCUUCCCUCACCCAGCACCCCUGGGCAGCCCCUCCACCCUCACCAACAGAGAAAUCUAUUUUCUUCACACCCCUUGGGCCACCUGCUUGUCCCCAGCAGUGCCAGGCAUGUAUUCACCUUCCCAAAUAAUCAACCUGCCCAAAAGGCCAGGCUGGCUCUGGUUUUCCUGACAAUUCACUUUUCAGGCAGCAGAAAGUGAGAUUGCACCUCACUCAAAGUAGUUACAAGUUCCCAUUUUCCAACAAUCCUUCUAGAAAACAUCGCUCUUGGCUGUUGCAGUUGCUCUCCCACCUCCCUAAUAAUUAGAUUUUUACCUCAAUAGCAGAUGCAGUUGCUUUCUUGUAAAAAACCCAGAGUUGAAAGAUGACUUCUUUCCCCCUGCCAUCACCCAUUGUGUGAGAAAACAGACAAUAUCCCAUUGUUCCAUGUACAACACUCUGAGCUGUACUUUCUGCUCUGAACACACUGCAACUCUACUUGAGGCUCCAGCAAUUUCCAUGCAGGAGGCAAAGGAGAAUCUUGUACCUGAUCUAAUACAGGAUAAAUCAAUGUGCACUCAUUUAUUGUUUAUAGCUCCCAUCAGCUCAAGGAGAGACACUGUCCUGGAGUUUCAAGGCUAUCCAGGCUGCCUUUGUGGAUGGAAACAGACACUGCACUUAGGAGGUGUUUUGAGAGCUCUGUUCAAACAUUUCCCAGGAGUUCAGGAGGGAUGGGAAAUCACUAAACCCUGGCAGCUUCUCAUCACUCUCAGGACAGGAUUUUGGGAAAGGCCAAGCCAGGUUCACAUCUCCCUUCUUGCCUUCUAUAGAAAUUCAGUCUCCUAUUAGUCACUGCCCUCAGGCAGGGGCUGGGGAGGUUAAUUGGAGUUUGUGUGAGAUGCUCAGAUAAGAUGUGCUGGGGAAGGGCAGCUCACAUUCAUUACUGUGCAUCCAGGUGAUGCAAGAGCUUCUCCCUGUCUCCUUCAGCUGCUGGAGCUGCAAAGAAAAAUUACCCAGCCCAGUCAGAAAACCAUCAGCACCACGGGGAGCACAUUUUUCUGGAUGUGGCCUGAAUUCCUGUCGACUUUGCAGGAUUCUGACCCUUUGUGGUGGCUGCAGAUGGGAGCUCCCUGGAAGUCCUGUAUCCCAGCACAAGCCAAGCAAGGCAGAGUUUAAUAUUCCUCCCCAUGCAAGUAUUUUCUCUCAUUAAAUGCUUAAGAGCUGGAGGAUUUGGGAGAUUAAUUUUUGCAGCUGGACAUUUUCUUUAAGAAUGCAAUUUUCCACACAAUUUUCCUCCUUUAGCUCUCUUUUAUUCUAAGCCCAAGACACUCACUUACCCAGGAGAGGACCCUCCUGCAAGGUCUGGAAAGGAAUUCACUCCAGUCCUUUCUUUUCACAUCUGCUACAGGCUUGCUUUCAGAAAACCCUGUUUUACUUAUUUCAACAGCACCAAGAAUCCACAACUACAAACUCAUUUAUCCAAAGACCUGACUGGAACAAAACCAGACCAUGGAUAGGUUCUUUUUUAAUUUAAAAGCACAAGAAGUUCCUCAAAAACCACAAGAGCUGAUCCACUGAAGCCCAGAGGCACACAGCACUCAGUGACAUGGCUGUGACAGGCUGGAGAAUGCACUGCAAUUCAGAGGGGUUUGUGCACACAAAGCAAGGGUGAGAUUUAAUUAUCAGCAGCCUCAAACGUGAUUGAACAAGGGGCAGCUACAGCCACUGUGUCUUUCCCCAGGUGUCACCUGGAAGAGGAUGGGGGGUCCUUCACUGCCUGUUCUGGGGACACAGCUCAGUGACAGUUUUGUGUUUAACCUGCCAUUGAAGCCCUUGGAGUUGAUGAUGGCCAGGCACAGUAAUGAGGGAGCUGCUCCUCCAAAUUCUGAAUAUUCAAUUAUGAGAGUUUAGGCAAAGACAGAAGGAAAGAGCCUCCUGACCUUCCCUGUCCCCAUGUCCUCACCUUCACUCUGGCAGUCUCUCUCCCCUUUGAAGCACUUCUCACACUUUUCCCCUGGAAAAUAAAAGCUUCUGGCUGAAAAGGUGACAUCCCACAGUUCUGUUAAUGCCAUUUCAGCCCUCAGCAGCCAAGAGGAGGCAGAGCAGAAGGGAGACAUUUGACUCCUCACAGCCUCCACAAGACACAACUUUGCUGCAUUUCACAGCAGAUUUGCUGUGCAGGCAAAGAGCAAAAGCUGGGCUGCACUGCUGGUUUUUAAACAAGCUUUCUUUUGCCAGUGCUGCUGCCAGUGGGCUCCCUCCCUGAUUUAAGCUUCCCGCUUCCCAGAGAUAAAGGUGCCUUUCAAGUUGUUGAUGCCAGCCUUCCCCUCCUAAUCCCUCAUCCCACCCUGACUUCAGAAGGCUCUGUAUCAUCCCCCAUUGCUUCCAGAGCAUAAGCUUUAUAUUUCUGCAGCAAAUCCAACUUUAACAGUGAUUAAAACAUACAAAUAAGAGACAUUUCAUUUGAAGGAUGCCAGGAAAUGAGUUCUCAAAAACCACACAGCGAUCCUGUAAGAAGCACAAAAUUGGUCCCCAAAGAACUUCCCUGUAUUUCAAUGUGGAGAACUUUAUUUAUUAAUACAUUCAUUCUCAUGCCUCUGCUUUAACACAGUCAUGCUGGCUUCAAGCAAUUGUUAAGCCUCACACAACUUCUUCUUUGAAGGGAUGGGAGGCGAGGAAAGAAAAGAGGGAAGAGGUAUUAAAAUUAGUCACAAGGAAUCCUAUAAAUACACCCGUGGAUGGAGGAAGAAAUCUCUCUUCUAUUUAACUUAAAAUAGAGGGCUAAACUUUAAAAGACAAACAGAUGGGAUGAAGCAAGGAUAAAACAGAGCUCAAAAAAGUCAACUGGGCAAUUUAUUCAGGGAUCUCUAUUGUGGGGUGGCAGAGGAGGAGGAGGGAGGAGGAAGAAUCUUUUUUAUCCAAAAUUAAUUCCUGGGUUGAGAAGCCAUAAGGAAUGCUUGAGGUAUUACAUCUCAGAGGCAAUAUGGCUCAGAGGUAUAAUGUGAAAAAAAGGGAUGCCUGGCCAGGAAAUGAGGCAUUUGUUCCAAAAGUUCAGCCUGUGGCUGGAUUACAAGACCUGUGUGUGUGCACCUGCAGCUGAAAGUCACAGGGAUGUGCUGGACAAAACUGCACAGAUCCAUCCACGAGGGGUAACACCAACCAGAAACUCUGUGAACACACUCAGACACAUCUGCUGCAGGGUGAGGGCUUUAAUGAAGGCACACUGAGGA